rnacentral:rRNA from 1 species
UACAGAGGGUGCAAGCGUUUGUUCGGAAUUAUUGGGCGUAAAGGGAGUGUAGGCGGUUCGUUAAGUCUUCUGUGAAAUCUACGGGCUUAGCCUGUAACGUGCAGAGGAAACUAGCGGGCUUGAGUGUCGGAGAGGAUAGGGGAAUACCCAGUGUAGAGGUGAAAUUCGUAGAGAUUGGGUGGAACACCAGUGGCGAAGGCGCCUAUCUGGCUGACAACUGACGCUGAGACUCGAAAGCAUGGGGAGCAAACAGG